AUCACGUUCAUCUUCAUUACGAUCCUUACGACUAUGAGCUGAAAUAGUGUGUUUUCUGACACCUGUGUGCUUACAAGGUGCCUCUCGCUUGCUGGUAUGGUGAUGCCCAUCCUCACUACCUAGGCUGGAAUCCUGAUGUCCAUGAUUAGCAGAACGAUCGCCACUGUGCUCACGAUGGUGCACAUGAAAGUGAGAUGCAUCGUGUACAUGAUCAUGUUUAUGAACACGAUUGUGCUCGCACUGAUCACCUAGGUGAUGGUUUGGAGGACAGUCUUGUGUAGUAUCUCCUGAAGUCUCACUGAUUUUCUUUCGUUUCUUCUUCUGUUUCCGCUGUUUUCUUUCACGCUGAUCCUGUGUUGUGUUUGUUUCUGUGGAAGGCCCGUGAUUCUGCUCUCCAUGUUCAUUAUGAAUAACUGAAUCAUUGCGAGAAUGAUGUGUACUGUUAUGGUCGAGAUGAUGAUGCGGAUGAGGGUGGUGAUGAUGGUGAUGGUGACUCUGGUCAUGAAUACGUUUACCAUCACCUUUUAUAGACGACACUACUGCAUCUCUCUCAGAGUUAUAUUUAUGAUUUUUCUUUUCAGCCAUACCAACCAUGGUUUGGUUUUCUGAAUCUGAGUGGCUAUGAGGAUGGCUAUGAGAGUGAAAAUGCCUUCCUUCCUGUACUUCUAAAGCAUAUAGAACAUUCUGCCUUUUUAUUCUACCU
rnacentral:lncRNA from 1 species